rnacentral:rRNA from 1 species
CAGCCGCCGCGGUAAUACGAAGGGGGCUAGCGUUGUUCGGAUUUACUGGGCGUAAAGGGUGCGUAGGCGGACUGAUAAGUCAGGGGUGAAAUCCCAAGGCUCAACCUUGGAACUGCCUUUGAUACUGUUAGUCUUGAGUUCGAGAGAGGUGAGUGGAACUGCGAGUGUAGAGGUGAAAUUCGUAGAUAUUCGCAAGAACACCAGUGGCGAAGGCGGCUCACUGGCUCGAAACUGACGCUGAGGCACGAAGGCGUGGGGAGCAAACAGGAUUAGAUACCCCUGUAGUCCCUGUCUCUUAUAC